rnacentral:lncRNA from 1 species
UUAUCCUGUGGUUCCACCAUACUCUUAGUUCAGUGGUUGGAAAAUGUUUUCUGUAAAAAGCCAUGUAGGGCUGGGCGGGGUGGCUCACAUCUGUAAUCCCAGCACUUUGGGAGGCUGGGUGGAUCACGAGAUCUGCCUGCCUUGGCCUCCCAAAGUGCUAGGAUUACAGGUGUGAACCACCGUGCCCAGCACUGUUCUCUCUUUCUUGAUAGUUUCCCUUCUGACAUUUCUUUACAUCCUCCUCAGACACCCAGUAACUUUAAUAUUCCUC